GUGAGCCGUGUAAUAGGCGACCAUUUCGCGCGGUUCGGGGGGCACUUGAAUAAGCCGCCGGCCCCCGGCUGCGUCUUUACCCCUAU
rfam:Oryza glumipatula chromosome 9, whole genome shotgun sequence.